rnacentral:lncRNA from 1 species
GUGAAAGGUAAGUAAUGAAUCAUCUUCUCAAGAUAUUCCAUAUUUAUUCUGAAAAUAAAUAAUUAUUCUCUAAAAUUAUGCAUGAUUUAUGAAAUUAUGUUUUGAAAGAAAAGUACUUUUGAAAUAUUAUGGUACGUCGAUUAUGCACACGUUCAGUGAGAAAAAUUAUGAUAUAUUAUGAUUCAAAGUGUUUGAUACAGAUCGGAUUUUUUGCUCUCAGCCUAACUAUGUUUCAGUGGGUCCCGCCAAUGGGGAUUAUACGUUGGUUUCAGUGGACCCUGCCAGUGGGGGUUGUGCGCUGGUGCUUUGUGGACCCUACCAGUAGGGGUUGUGUGCUGGUGUUUGUGGAUCCUGCCAGUGGGGGUUGUGUGCUGGUAUUCUGUGGACCCUGCCAAUGGAGGUUAAACGUUGGUCAUAGUCAAGGCUGUUGAGCUACGAGUAUUUUUGAAUCGAAUCGGAUUUAUGAUUAUAUUAUAUGUGAAUAUUUGAAAAUAUUGGAUUUGCAUUAAAUCAGCAUGAAAUAUAUUUUUAUGUUUAUUUGAAAUAUUGUUCUUGAAAAUUACAUAAUAUCUGAAAUAUCUAGUUGAGAUAUUUGUUACUUACUGGGC